UGCAUACGAGUCUGUGGUUGAAAGUCGAUGCCAGACGCAGGCAAAACGAUCCACGUAAGCAAGUGAAUGACUUGUGAGCAUGGUGCGUCUUAGAUGUAAGUCCUGCCGGAAUAACCGAGAGGAGCAGUAGUGGGGAGCAAUAGACUUAUGAGCGAACCUCCCAGCAGGCGAGUGUGGGGUCAAAAACCAGGUCAGUCGUAUAGA
rnacentral:ncRNA from 1 species